GGCGAACGCUGGCGGCGUGCUUAACACAUGCAAGUCGAACGGAAAGGCCCUGCUUUUGUGGGGUGCUCGAGUGGCGAACGGGUGAGUAACACGUGAGUAACCUGCCCUUGACUUUGGGAUAACUUCAGGAAACUGGGGCUAAUACCGGAUAGGAGCUCCUGCUGCAUGGUGGGGGUUGGAAAGUUUCGGCGGGUGGGGAUGGACGCGCGGCUUAUCAGCUUGUUGGUGGGGUAGUGGCUUACCAAGGCUUUGACGGGUAGCCGGCCUGAGAGGGUGACCGGCCACAUUGGGACUGAGAUACGGACCAGACUCCUACGGGAGGCAGCAGUGGGGAAUAUUGCACAAUGGGCGGAAGCCUGAUGAAGCAACGCCGCGUGCGGGAUGACGGCCUUCGGGUUGUAAACCGCUUUCGCCUGUGACGAAGCGUGAGUGACGGUAAUGGGUAAAGAAGCACCGGCUAACUACGUG
rnacentral:rRNA from 1 species